AUCCAGCUGACGAGUCCCGAAUAGGACGAAACGCGCGUCCUGGGU
rnacentral:hammerhead_ribozyme from 1 species